AGGAAAUAAAUCACUUUUUUUGUGAUGUACCUCCACUCAUACAGGUAGCUUGUAACCCCACACAGACCAGUAAAAUAUUACUUUAUGUGGUCAGUGUGUUCCUGGGAAUAAGUCCCUUUCUCUAUAUUGUCAUAUCAUAUGUCCAUAUCAUCUCCACAGUUAUUAGAAUAAGUUCUUCUGAUGGCCGAGGAAAAGCCUUUUCUACUUGCUCGUCUCAUCUGAUUGUUGUGACUGUAUUUUAUGGGACAGCAAACUUUAAUUACGUGGGGCCAACCUCUGGUUAUUCUCUGGAAGUCGAGCGUUUUGCUUCCUUGUUGUACAGCAUUUUAACUCCUCUUUUAAAUCCAAUUAUUUACUGCUUGAGAAACAAGGAAGUAAAGAAUGCCAUGGGAAAAACAUUUAGGAGAAUUUAUUUUAAGACUCAUAAG